rnacentral:misc_RNA from 1 species
GAAAUGCGAUAAGUAGUGUGAAUUGCAGAAUUCAGUGAAUCAUCGAAUCUUUGAACGCACAUUGCGCCCCUUGGUAUUCCAUGGGGCAUGCCUGUUCGAGCGUCAUUUGUAACCUCAAGCUCAGCUUGGUGUUGGGUGUCUGUCCCCGCCCCGCGCGGGGACUCGCCUCAAAAACAUUGGCGGCCGGUACGUUGGCUUCGAGCGCAGCAGAAACGCGAACUCGAGGCCCGACGGAUCGGCGACCAGAAGUCACUUCUUCCACAGCUUGACCUCGGAUCAGGUAGGGAUACCCGCUGAACUUAAGC